CCUCUGGCGAUGAAGGUCGUAACUGACCUUCGGGAGAGACUCAGGACAUAUAAGCUAUAAUGGGUAGGCCUGUUCUGGGGUUUGAUCGAUGCCAAUCAGGAUUACCUUUCUUCCUUUGGGAAGGAAGGCGCCUGGUACCCUUUACCAUAUACCAUGAAUUCAGAAUUGAAAGUAUAAUAUAAUAACAACUUUUAACAAUGGAUCUCUUGGUUCUCGCAUC
rnacentral:misc_RNA from 1 species